GACAGAGGGUGCGAGCGUUGUUCGGAAUUAUUGGGCGUAAAGGGCGCGUAGGCGGCGACUAAAGUCAGAUGUGAAAGCCCUGGGCUCAACCCAGGAAGUGCAUCUGAUACUGAGUUGCUUGAGUGCUGGAGAGGGUGGUGGAAUUCCUGGUGUAGAGGUGAAAUUCGUAGAUAUCAGGAGGAACACCGGUGGCGAAGGCGACCACCUGGACAGACACUGACGCUGAGGCGCGAAAGCCAGGGGAGCAAACGGG
rnacentral:rRNA from 1 species